GCCAUGGCAACAUUCAGCAGCGCGAAAAAAGAAAUUCUCCUUCGUCACUCUCGCACAUCCUCUCCUCCUCUCAUCAUCAAUUUGAAUAUUCAGUGUUCAUCGAAAAAAAGGAACACAAAAUACACAGCACCACCAAACACAAAGAAACGUUCACAAGGCUGAAACAAAGGAUCCAAAAUGCGAAACUCAACCACGAAUUCAAAAACAUUCCUAAUUCUGUCUAACCUCAACGGAUCAAAACCAAAACAUAAUCACAACGCAAAACUCGCGGAUUGAAGCAAGAAAUAACUCACGAAUUUGACGCCGUGGCAAAAACCAGGAAGAAUGAAGAUUUUGGAUUUUCGUUCGUUUUGUAUGAAUGAAUGAAGAUUUUUUUGGACUGUGAAGUAUGGUUUUUGUGCAUCUUUGAUGAAUGAGUGAAGACUCUGUUUUGUGAGUGCAUAAUUCAUUUAUAGAACAUUGAAUUCAGUUAUGAAACUCACAUAGAAAUCCACAUGAAAUUCAAAGUUAGUUGCAAAUGAGGAAAAUGGCUAGCAUGUUAGUUAUUGAACAUUCAAUCUCGGUUAGUGAAUUAGUGAUUCUAUGUGAUUCACUUGAGUUGUUACAGUGGAAUCUCAUUUAAAUGCUUAUUGAGACUUGUAGGUUACACAAUGAAUGAAAUUAGCUUGAAAUUGGAAAUGUUAAUUGGCUAGUUUGAUUUGAAGUUAUAUGAUGAAAUGCUCUUGGAAUGGUUUUAGCAGGAUGUUUUGGAAAGGUGAAAGUCAUGCUUGCAUAUUAAAUGGUUUUGGCUUGGAACUUUGUUGGCUUGCGUUUGGAAUGGCUUGAAGACCUUUUGCUUGCAUAUGGCAAUGGCUUGAAGAGUUUUUGCUUGCAUAUGGAAUUGAAUUGUGGGACUUUGCUUGCUUGUGGAAUUUGGAGAUGGAUUGUGGAGUUCGGAAAUUGUAUGAAUGAAGGAAGAAAAUUUGGAAUGCUAUGUUUAAAUUUAGCAUUGUAGUUUUUUUUGUAAUGAUUGAAGAUUGUAAUAAAAAAUUGGAUAUUGUAAUGUUGAAAUUGAAAAUAAUAGAGUGUUAGUUUGAAAUGAA